rnacentral:rRNA from 1 species
GUAGGUGGCAAGCGUUGUCCGGAAUUAUUGGGCGUAAAGCGCGCGCAGGCGGUUCUUUAAGUCUGAUGUGAAAGCCCACGGCUCAACCGUGGAGGGUCAUUGGAAACUGGAGGACUUGAGUACAGAAGAGGAAAGCGGAAUUCCACGUGUAGCGGUGAAAUGCGUAGAGAUGUGGAGGAACACCAGGGGCGAAGGCGGCUUUCUGGUCUGUAACUGACGCUGAGGCGCGAAAGCGUGGGGAGCAAACAGGGAUUAGAUACCCUGGUAGUCCACGCCGUAAACGAUGAGUGCUAAGUGUUAGGGGGGUUUCCGCCCCCUUAGUGCUGCAGCUAACGCAUUAAGCACUCCGCCUGGGGAUACGGCCGCAAGGCUG